rnacentral:lncRNA from 1 species
NNNNNNNNNNNNNNNNNNNUGGCCCCUGUCCCGGGCAGCGUAGCCCGUGCCGCCCGCCCCUCGCCCUGCGGCCGGCCCUCGCUCCUGGCCUCUGUCCCGGGCAGCGUAGCCCGUGCCGCCCGCCCCUCGCCCUGCGGCUGCCCCUCGCUCCUGGCCCCUGUCCCGGGCAGCGUAGCCCGUGCCGCCCGCCCCUCGCCCUGCGGCCGGCCCUCGCUCCUGGCCUCUGUCCCGGGCAGCGUAGCCCGUGCCGCCCGCCCCUCGCCCUGCGGCCGGCCCUCGCUCCUGGCCCCUGUCCCGGGCAGCGUGGCCCUCGCCCUGCGGCCGGCCCUCGCUCCUGGCCCCUGUCCCGGGCAGCGUGGCCCUCGCCCUGCGGCCGGCCCUCGCUCCUGGCCCCUGUCCCGGGCAGCGUAGCCCGUGCCGCCCGCCCCUCGCCCUGCGGCCAGCCCUCGCCCUGCGGCCGGCCCUCACUCCUGGCCCCUGUCCCGGGCAGCGUAGCCCGUGCCGCCCGCCCCUCGCCCUGCGGCCGGCCCUCGCUCCUGGCCUCUGUCCCGGGCAGCGUAGCCCGUGCCGCCCGCCCCUCGCCCUGCGGCCGGCCCUCGCUCCUGGCCUCUGUCCCGGGCAGCGUAGCCCGUGCCGCCCGCCCCUCGCCCUGCGGCCGGCCCUCGCUCCUGGCCCCUGUCCCGGGCAGCGUGGCCCGUGCCGCCCGCCCCUCGCCCUGCGGCCGCCCCUCGCUCCUGGCCCCUGUCCCGGGCAGCGUGGCCCCUGCCGCCGUCCGGGGAUCGUUUUGGGGAGUCCCGCUGCCGUUCCCUGCUUGCUCCUCGCCUGCCUUACAGACCUGCGGAGUUGGAAGGGCCUCCGACGGGCUCUCGGCUCGGCUCUGCCCAGCCGGUUCCCCCUCUGCUCCCCUCCCGGGAGCCUCGUUCCGCCUCUGGACACCAAAUGGUAGCCCCGACCCUUCCUCUGCAGCUCUGGGUCGGCCCCUGCCCCGCAGGGCAUCUCGGUGCGCCAAAUACCCGGCUCGGUGGGCCUUCGAGUCUGCCCAGGGCGGCCCUCUUUGUCUGGGCUCCACAGGCCAGGGAAGACGAUGCUUCCCCUCCCCCCAGCUUCAGGCCCAGGCAGCCCCCUCAGCCCUGGGGGAGCUCCGGAGAGAGCAGCCCGCGGCCCUGGCCAGCCUCUUCUAGCUCCGGGGAGACCCGGAAGGCAGGCGGCCACCACCGCGUGGAGUGCGGGGCCGGGAGGGAGGGAGGGAAGGGCUCUCGGGGGGCCCCCCAAACACGGGGGCCGGCAGGGCUUCUUGCAGCUCUCCUUCCCCGGCCUGGCUGUAAUUGGCCAUUAGCCCCAGGAGGAGCAGAUGGGAUGAUGGGCCGGGGGGGGCAGCGGGCAGCUCUUGAUGGUCACCUCCUGGGGCUAAGAGGCCUGUUAGC